GAUGACAAAACUAAAAGAUGCGGUUAAAUGGUUAAACCGCAUCUUUUGCCCUCCCCUAAAACUAAAAAGUACAUCCUUUGUCUACCUAAAACGAAAAAGUGCGGUUAAAUGUAUGACCGCAUCUUUUAUCCCCCUAUAUUUCCCCCCAAAAAUUUCAAUUAGUUUUCGCUUCCCUCCAUCGACCUAAUAACCCCCAAAACCCGGCCUCUAUCUAUCCUCAUAACUCCUCAUUUUUCAUCUACCACACACUACAACCCUCGCUUCAGAUCAAAUCCUCUCAAUCUUCACCCUAAUCUUGUAUUGUUUCUAUCGGUUUACCCAACAAAUAAGCUGAUCUAGGGUUUGUUUGUGUUCAAUUUCACCAACACAUAUACUUUUAUGCUUUUCAAUCAAAGGAUCUCUCACAAGAAACCAAUGAUAACAUCCGUGAAUCGUUCAAUUAUUCGUUUGGUCUUCCGGUAUCUACACAUACACUUGAGUUAAAGCUUCGAUGUUCGAUGUUUUGAAGAAACACAACGAUAACUUCGCGAACAGUACAUGUAUUUUGAAAUCCAAAUUGAAUGAGAAAGGUGAAUUCAUCGAGCGUGUUAGGGUUUGUUUUUAAUAUAUCAUAUUACAGUUUUCUCCUGGUUUCACUUGCUUGUUUUCUUCAGAGGUGAUCGUACCCUAUUGUAAGGUAUCCCACUCAGAUCUAUCAAGACAUGUGGUGACCAACACUUCUUCAUAUGAUUAUCCAAUCGUUGAUGUCUGCUUCAGAUUCAAAUCUUUCAAAUAACUUAAGAGUGUUACUACCCAUGUAAUGUAGGUGGGAAUGGCUUAACCGAAGGUUAUCAUCACAAUGGGCUGCGCUAAGAAGCCAAUGGAUGAUGUUUUACAGAAGUGUUUGUGUUGGCCCAGCUCCCUGUUAAAUUAAUCCCAGAAUAGAAAAUAAUUGAUAAACAGAGAUUUUCACAAAACAAAAUGGAUAAACACUUUUAUAUAUGUAUAUAUAUUUAGUGAAGCUUUGUAAAUCCUUCUUAUUAUGAUCUUCUAUAAGUAAUUGUUUUUUUAUGCUUGAUUGACAGUGUGUUAAAAAGGAUGGAGCAAAUUAUGGAUCACUCUAUGUUCCUUUGUUGCAGAAACUCAGUAAACACAGGCAAAUAUACUAUUUCAUUCACAUAUAGUAUUACUAGUUAGCCCAUUAACAUAUUUCCUCUUAUAGUUGAACAAUAAUUUGAAGUCGUUCAAAAUGUUUUAGCUUGAGCCUGUAGGUUAAGAAGUCACUUGUUGGCUUACACUUUUAAUCUCUUAUACAUCUAUACACUUGCAUAUCUUUUUUUAAGCUUCAGUGGUUUAUGAAAUGGAAUGUUGUGUUUUGUUAGGAAAUUUAUACGGUUCUAGUUGCAAGUAUAAACUGAAGAUGUUGGUUUCGGUUGCAAGUAUGAAGACUUGGGUUCGGAAGGUUAUUGUAUAUCGUUUUCAUCUUUAAACAUUAACGUAUUUGUGGUACUUUGAAACUUUUGUAAUUAUUUGUGUUACUUUAAAACC